rnacentral:misc_RNA from 1 species
AAAAUAAAAAAAACUAUAUUAUUAUCCUAAUAAUUUUAAAAAAUAUCAACAGUGCCCUUGUUUCAACAAACUCUCAACAACAACUUAAAAAUAAUACAUACCUGUUUUAGUCAUUUUGAUAGAUUAAGUUACUUUUAAGCACCUAUUAGUCAAACAAUUAAACUACUUGAAAGUAGCUUUUAAGUAGUUUUAACAAACACUCAAAUACUUAACUUUAAAUUAACUUAACCUUAAAUUAACUUAUAAUUUAAAAAGUAUUUUUUAAGUCAAAAGUUAAAAGCAGUCAAACCAAACACCCUCGAAAAGUUGGGCAAAUUCUUG